rnacentral:rRNA from 1 species
UACGUAGGGGGCAAGCGUUGUCCGGAAUCAUUGGGCGUAAAGAGCGUGUAGGCGGCCCGGUAAGUCCGCUGUGAAAGUCGGGGGCUCAACCCUCGAAUGCCGGUGGAUACUGUCGGGCUAGAGUGCGGAAGAGGCGAGUGGAAUUCCUGGUGUAGCGGUGAAAUGCGCAGAUAUCAGGAGGAACACCGGUGGCGAAGGCGGCAUCCUGGACCGGCAUUGACGCUGAGGCGCGAAAGCCAGGGGAGCAAACGGG